GACGGAAGGUGCAAGCGUUGCUCGGAAUCACUGGGCGUAAAGGGUGCGUAGGCGGCCGUGCAAGUCUGGCGUGAAAGCCCCGGGCUCAGCCCGGGAAGUGCGCUCGAAACUGCGCGGCUCGAGUGCCGGAGGGGAGAGUGGAAUUCCUGGUGUAGCGGUGAAAUGCGUAGAUAUCGGGAGGAACACCUGAGGCGAAGGCGGGCUACUGGGCCGAUACUGACGCUGAUGCGCGAAAGCCAGGGGAGCGAACGGG
rnacentral:rRNA from 1 species